rnacentral:rRNA from 1 species
GAUGAACGCUGGCGGCGUGCUUAACACAUGCAAGUCGAACGGUGAAGGCGGAGCUUGCUCUGCUGGAUCAGUGGCGAACGGGUGAGUAACACGUGAGCAAUCUGCCCCUGACUCUGGGAUAAGCGCUGGAAACGGCGUCUAAUACUGGAUACGAGCUGCGAAGGCAUCUUCAGCAGCUGGAAAGAAUUUCGGUCAGGGAUGAGCUCGCGGCCUAUCAGCUUGUUGGUGAGGUAAUGGCUCACCAAGGCGUCGACGGGUAGCCGGCCUGAGAGGGUGACCGGCCACACUGGGACUGAGAAACGGCCCAGACUCCUACGGGAGGCAGCAGUGGGGAAUAUUGCACAAUGGGCGAAAGCCUGAUGCAGCAACGCCGCGUGAGGGACGACGGCCUUCGGGUUGUAAACCUCUUUUAGCAGGGAAGAAGCGAAAGUGACGGUACCUGCAGAAAAAGCGCCGGCUAACUACGUG